AUGCCAAUGCCAAUGAUAUCCGAUUCUUUCAUAGACUUCUCUAUAGAUUCUCAACCCCUUACGCUUAGAUUGGGAUUAUUGCAAGUCCUGUCCAAUGGAGUUGAUAAAAGAGGAUGAUGGCCUUGAGCCAGUGAGCCCUACAGGACAGUACUUUAACAGCAAGGUGAUGUCGGUUUCUGUUCUUGGUAUAUUGGAAAUAGAAAUUCCGAUUGAUGACUCCCAAGCUAUGGCGCUGAUCAAAGAUGUUUUCCUCCCAAUAAACCCUCGCUUCUCUUCUAUCAUGGUGAUAGGAAAGAAGGGAGCAAGAAAAUGGAAGAAGGUGGAAGUGGAGGUGGAAAACCAUGUGCACGUCCCCAGUUUUUCCUCUCCAAAGGGCUCGUCAUCUCCAUCCGAGAAUGACAGUUUCCUUAAAAGUUAUAUUUCACAAAUAGCAAAGCAACCAUUUCCACAAGGCCAACCAUUGUGGGAAGUACAUAUUAUCAAGUGUCCAACCAGUGAAGCACAAGGAACCGUAAUUUUCAAGCUUCACCAUGCACUCGGUGAUGGCUAUUCUCUUGUGGGCGCUCUCUUGUCAUGCCUUCAAAGAGCUGACGAUCCUUCUCUUCCAGUAACCUUUCCCUCGUUCAAUAAAUUCAGCUCAGCCAAUAAUGACGACAGAAACAUCGGACUUCCGAAGGUGGUUAGCGGAUGUUUUUUGCCACUUGUCAACACCGUAAGAGAUUUUGGUGGGAGCGUCUUGAAAAGCACUUGUUUCAAAGAUGAUUUGUCGCCGAUUCGGUGUGGGUUGGAGAGCUUUCGGCCAUUUUCAUUGUCAGCGAUCUCGUUCUCAUUAGAUCGCAUCAAAGAGAUCAAGUCUCGCCUUCGAGUGGUAACUAAUAUCACUUCAAAGACAAUACUAAGUCUAGCUUCUUGCAUCGCACAAGCAUUACUAAGUCUUUUAGCAUUUUACUUUAUGAGGUACCCUUUACGUCUCUAAUCUUUUGCAUUAUAAUGGUCGCCUUCACAUAACGAGCUCAAAAGUAUUUGUGUUUUCUAACGUAUUCACAAAAUAUAUGCAGUUUAUAUGAUAUUUAUUUUAGGCAUUUAUUAUAUUCAGUCUGACAAUUAGUAUGCAGCUAGUACUCAGGGUGUACAACUCUGACCGAGGAAAAUGACAUGAUUAAUGCGCAUAAUAUUUUUGUUUAUUUUACGUGCGUAACGAUUUUCCUAGCCACCCGCACAACGUUACAUCCUUGAAAACAAAAAGACAAUUGAGCUAGAAACUGGUUUCUUUUUCAGAUAUAUAGAUGCUAAGUUAUAGAAAACUAGUUAAUUUCUUCAUCCAAAGAUAGUUUUGUGUUUAUCUACAUGAUUUUAGAUAUAUAUAUAAACAAACCCACCAAUCAGAAUUUUUUUUUAUCAGCUUGAUUAGUUCACAUACAUUUUUUAGCUUUAAUUAUGUCUCUUUUAACAUUAAUUCACCAUAUUGAGCAUUUACUUGCAUUAUCCAUGACAAUUAAUACAAUAAAGGGAUUUUUCUUGAUCCAACGUUAAAUCUUUCUUGGACUUUAUUCACAUUCAACAAGCAUGAGUAACACAUUUGACGGAGAAAUAUAUCAACAUUACAUUAGCGGACACUAUUUCUUGAACUAGGUUCAAGUUGGAACUGUUGGCAUAUUUACUAUUUUACUAUACAAAAGUUGAUUAAUAACCCGAGGGCUUCGGAUCAAUCAAUCAUGCAACGACUUAAAGGGCAAAAUACUAAUGUAUCCUUGGUCCUUUUCCCUUGAAUUUUCUCUUUAUAACAGACUAUCAACGAUGUCAUUAUGGGGGUAAUCUUCUUGGCGACUUGAUUGUACAUGCAAAGAGGGAGCCCAAACUCGAACUUGAGCAGUAAUUCCACAGCGCUAGUGUUGCUAAAUACAAGGAAUUUGCGAGAUUACAAGUCAGUGAAAGACAUGGUCUGGCCUAAUUCUGCAUCGCCGUGGGGAAACAAUUUUGCAUUCUUGCAUGUACCUAUACCGAAAGUGAAACCGAGCGAUUCUGAGUUCUCUAAUCCUUUGAAGUUUGUCCACAAAGCUCGUGAGGCGAUCAAGAGGAAACGGAACUCCUUUGGUGUAGUUCUCACAGGGAAGCUGUUAGAAAUGAUGAAGAAAUGCAGAAACCCAGAGGUAUGUACACGUCGCGAUGAUUAACUUAUCAGAAAUGCUAAGUAUUUUAUAUCUGAUUUAAAAAAUUGAUAUGUUACGUGAUGUGAUAGGCUAUUAAUAGGUAUUGAACGUGACACGCUCUCGUUGUAUAAUUUCUUGUGGUUUGUCAUAUAUUUUGUAUAAUUACUCAUUUUUGAUAUUAUCGUUAACAAAAAUGGAAGCUUGUUCGCUUGUACAAAAUGUGUUUAAUCAUUGCAGGUAGUAGCGAGGCACAUUAACAGGACAAUGAGAAACUCGAGCAUGAUCAUCUCCAAUGUUAUAGGGCCAAUGGAUAAAUUGUCCCUGGCUAAUCAUCCUAUCAAGGGCAUGUACUUCACUGUCACCGGCACACCUGAGACUCUCCAAGUAACGAUGAUCAGCUAUGCAGGAAAUUUGAGAGUAGUUGUGCGAGCUGAGCAAGGGUUCAUAGAUUCUGAGCUGUACACCCGCUCCUUGCAUGAUGCUUUGGACAUGAUCCUUCGUGAUGCAUGUGGGAAGCAAUAGAGACCAUUCCUACUCCUAUCCUUCCAUGGUUCAACGCCUUAUUAGAAAACCCUAUUUUUUCCCCUUAUUUUUCAUUAUGAAGAUCUUGUUAACGGGACCAAAUCUAUUGUGGGGGGAGCGUGGGCAAAUUAUAAGUCUACUCCAAAUAAGUGUAACUAUUGAGUCUUAUGGUGGGGAACUCAAUAAAGUCUGUUUCGCUUGUAAUUAAUGGAAUGCCUUUCAUCAAAGAUUAGUCUUUCAUGAC